ACUAAAGCUAGUGAACGCAUUGGACUCCUUAGCCUCGAUGUGUAGGAUAAACUCAACUCAGCAGACACUAAAAUUAUUUGAGUAAAGGAAGGGAAUGGAGCAAAGCGCAGAAUAUUCAAGUGGAGAAUAGUGGAAUCUACCCGAACGUGAGGAUGAAUAAUACAGUCGGGGAAAAACAAAACAUGGUAUUGUUGAAAAAAUGAAAACAUAAUUAACUCCAACCUUGCAGACACCUGUGACGUACUUGAAUAAAUGCUCGUCGAAUGCCUCGUUUA